GAUGAACGCUGGCGGCGUGCCUAAUACAUGCAAGUCGAGCGAAGCGGGGACGGGUGAGUAACACGUGGAUAACCUCCUAUACGACUGGGAUAACUUCGGGAAACCGGAGCUAAACCGGAUAUUUAUAGAUGGAUCCGCUCUGCAUUAGCUAGUUGGUAAGGUAACGGAUUACAAAGGCAACGAUGCAUACCCGACCAGAGAGGGGGAGAGGCAACACUGGAACUGAGACACGGACCAGAGUCCUACGGGAGGCAGGAGUAAGGAAAGUGACGCAAUGGGCGAAAGCCUGACGGAGCAACGCCGCGUGAGUGAUGAAGGUUUUCGGAGCGUAAAACUCUGUUAUUAGGGAAGCGGUACCUAAUCAGAAAGCCACGGCUAACUACGUGCCAGCAGCCGCGGUAAUAC
rnacentral:rRNA from 1 species